rnacentral:rRNA from 1 species
UACAGAGGGGGCAAGCGUUGUUCGGAAUUACUGGGCGUAAAGGGCGCGUAGGCGGCCUUCUAAGUCGAACGUGAAAUCCCCGGGCUCAACCCGGGAACUGCGUCCGAUACUGGAAGGCUUGAAUCCGGGAGAGGGAUGCGGAAUUCCAGGUGUAGCGGUGAGAUGCGUAGAUAUCUGGAGGAACACCGGUGGCGAAGGCGGCAUCCUGGACCGGCAUUGACGCUGAGGCGCGAAAGCGUGGGGAGCGAACAGG